rnacentral:rRNA from 1 species
AGGACGAACGCUGGCGGCGUGCUUAACACAUGCAAGUCGAGCGGAAAGGCCCUUCGGGGUACUCGAGCGGCGAACGGGUGAGUAACACGUGAGUAACCUGCCCCUAGCUCUGGGAUAGCUCCGGGAAACCGGGAUUAAAUACCAGAUACGACCACUUUAGACAUCUGUCGUGGUGGAAAGGAUUCCGGCUAGGGAUGGGCUCGCGGCCUAUCAGCUUGUUGGUGGGUAACGGCCUACCAAGGCGACGACGGUA